rnacentral:rRNA from 1 species
AGAGUUUGAUCCUGGCUCAGGAUGAACGCUGGCGGUCUGCUUAACACAUGCAAGUCGAACGGGAUCCUUCGGGAUUUAGUGGCGGACGGGUGAGUAACGCGUGAGAAUCUGCCCUUAGGUUGGGGACAACAGUUGGAAACGACUGCUAAUACCCAAUGUGCCGAGAGGUGAAAGGUUAACUGCCUGGGGAUGAGCUCGCGUCUGAUUAGCUAGUUGGAGUGGUAACGGCACACCAAGGCGACGAUCAGCAGCUGGUCUGAGAGGAUGAUCAGCCACACUGGGACUGAGACACGGCCCAGACUCCUACGGGAGGCAGCAGUGGGGAAUUUUCCGCAAUGGGCGAAAGCCUGACGGAGCAAGACCGCGUGAGGGAGGGAGGCCUAUUGGUUGUAAACCUCUUUUGAUAGGGAAGAACACAAUGACGGUACCUAUCGAAUCAGCAUCGGCUAACUCCGUGCCAGCAGCCGCGGUAAUACGGAGGAUGCAAGCGUUAUCCGGAUUUAUUGGGCGUAAAGCGUCCGUAGGUGGCAAACCAAGUCAGUUGUUAAAGCGUAGAGCUUAACUCUAUAAGGGCAAUUGAAACUGGUUAGCUAGAGUGCGAUAGGGGCAAGGGGAAUUCCCAGUGUAGCGGCGAAAUGCGUAGAUAUUGGGAAGAACAUCGGUGGCGAAGGCGCCUUGCUGGGUCUGCACUGACACUGAGGGACGAAAGCUAGGGGAGCGAAAGGGAUUAGAUACCCCUGUAGUCCU